GGUGGCUCAGUGGUAGAGCGCUUGCCUUACAAGCAUGAGGCCCUGGGUUCGAUUCCUCAGCACCA
rnacentral:tRNA from 1 species